GACAGAGGGUGCAAACGUUGCUCGGAAUCACUGGGCGUAAAGGGCGUGUAGGCGGGAGGGAAAGUCAGAUGUGAAAUCCCCCAGGCUCAACCUGGGAACUGCAUUUGAUACAGCACGUCUUGAGUCCGGAAGAGGUGGGUGGAAUUCCUAGUGUGAGAGGUGAAAUUCGUAGAUAUUAGGAAGAACACCGGUGGCGAAGGCGGCCCACUGGUCCGGUACUGACGCUGAGGUGCGAAAGCGUGGGGAGCAAACAG
rnacentral:rRNA from 1 species